UGAGUUCGCGGGAGAGUAGGUUAUUGCCAGGGUUUUUAUUUUAUACUUUAAACAUUGAUUUUAUUUUUUAUAUUAUUUGAAUGUUUUAUUCAAAUAAUAUAAAAAAUAAAAUAUAUAUUGMCAUGGAUUAAACAAAGAUAUAUAUUAUUCUAUGUUGUAUAAACAAAUUGGCAAAAUAGAGAUGGAAGAUAAAAAUAUGGUCAAAGUAAUAAGAGUCUAUGGUGAAUGCCUAGGAGCUUUAAGGCGAAGAAGGUCGUGGUAAGCUGCGAAAAGCUUGGGGGAGAAGCAAACAUUUAUUGAUCCCAAGAUUACCGAAUGGAGUAAUCCA
rnacentral:misc_RNA from 1 species